rnacentral:rRNA from 1 species
CCUACGGGAGGCAGCAGUGAGGAAUAUUGGUCAAUGGACGCAAGUCUGAACCAGCCAAGCCGCGUGCAGGAUGACGGCUCUAUGAGUUGUAAACUGCUUUUGUGCGAGGAUAAACUGCGUCACGUGUGUCGGGUUGCAAGUAUCGUACGAAUAAGGACCGGCUAACUCCGUGCCAGCAGCCGCGGUAAUACGGAGGGUCCGAGCGUUAUCCGGAUUUAUUGGGUUUAAAGGGUGCGCAGGCGGUGUGAUAAGGUAGAGGUGAAAUGUCGGGGCUCAACCCCGGAACUGCCGCUAAGACUGUUGGACUAGAGAAGAGGUGAGGUAGGCGGAAUGUAUGGUGUAGCGGUGAAAUGCUUAGAGAUCAUACAGAACACCGAUUGCGAAGGCAGCUUACCAAACUAUAUCUGACGUUGAGGCACGAAAGCGUGGGUAGCAAACAGGAUUAGAUACCCCGGUAGUC